rnacentral:snRNA from 1 species
GUACUUACCUGGACGGAGGUCAAUGUGUGAUCAAUAAGAUUCAUAACCUAGGCUAAUGACUUCCAUUGCAAUUUGGAGGGCUGCUCGCUUGGGUAGAACCCACGUCAUAAUUUGUUACUGGUACUUGCGUCCCUUGCAAAAAUUAU